rnacentral:rRNA from 1 species
AGUGAACGCUGGCGGUAGGCCUAACACAUGCAAGUCGAACGGCAGCACAGUAAGAGCUUGCUCUUACGGGUGGCGAGUGGCGGACGGGUGAGGAAUACAUCGGAAUCUACUUUUUCGUGGGGGAUAACGUAGGGAAACUUACGCUAAUACCGCAUACGACCUACGGGUGAAAGCAGGGGAUCUUCGGACCUUGCGCGAUUGAAUGAGCCGAUGUCGGAUUAGCUAGUUGGCGGGGUAAAGGCCCACCAAGGCGACGAUCCGUAGCUGGUCUGAGAGGAUGAUCGGCCACACUGGAACUGAGACACGGUCCAGACUCCUGCGGGAGGCAGCAGUGGGGAAUAUUGGACAAUGGGCGCAAGCCUGAUCCAGCCAUACCGCGUGGGUGAAGAAGGCCUUCGGGUUGUAAAGCCCUUUUGUUGGGAAAGAACAGCAGCAGGUUAAUACCACGCUGUUCUGACGGUACCCAAAGAAUAAGCACCGGCUAACUUCGUG